UCCACAGAGUGAAUAUCUCCGGCAUUUCUUCUCUAGGGAUGCCAACAGGACUACUAUGAGUUGCUGAUAAUCUCUUGGGAGUAGAAACCAGCACGAUUCCACUGCACUGGGAA
rnacentral:lncRNA from 1 species